rnacentral:rRNA from 1 species
UACGAAGGGGGCUAGCGUUGCUCGGAAUUACUGGGCGUAAAGGGAGCGUAGGCGGAUAGUUUAGUCAGAGGUGAAAUCCCGGGGCUCAACCUCGGAACUGCCUUUGAUACUGGCUAUCUUGAGUAUGGGAGAGGUGUGUGGAACUCCGAGUGUAGAGGUGAAAUUCGUAGAUAUUCGGAGGAACACCAGUGGCGAAGGCGGCUCACUGGCUCGAUACUGACGCUGAGGUGCGAAAGCGUGGGGAGCAAACAGG